GUUAAAAAGCUCGUAGUUGGAUUUCUGCGGGGGCGGGGCGGCCGAACGCUUAUAGCGUUUCGAGCUAGCACUUCCCCUGCAUCCUGCCGCGAACCGUGCUACCAUUAGUUUGGUGGCGCCGGGGAUCGGCUCGUUUACUUUGAGAAAAAUAGAGUGUUCAAAGCAGGCACACGCCUUGAAUAAGUUAGCAUGGAAUAAUGAUAAAGGACUUCGGUUCUAUUUUGUUGGUGUUCGGGACUGAAGUAAUGAUUGAUAGGGACAGUUGGGGCGGUCCGUAUUCCAAAGCGAGAGGUGAAAUUCUUAGACCUUCGGAAGACGAACAGCUGCGAAAGCGUUCCGCAAGGAUGUUCCCUUUGAUCAAGAACGAAAGUUGGGGGAUCGAAGACGAUCAGAUACCGUCGUAGUCUCAACUAUAAACUAUACCAGCUAGGGAUCGGCCAACGUUUACUUACAUCGACUUGGUCGGCACCUUAUGAGAAAUCAAAAGCAUCUGGGUUCCGGGGGGAGUAUGGUCGCAAAGGCUGAAACUUAAAGGAAUUGACGGAAGGGCACCCCCACCCGUGGAGCCUGCGGCUUAAUUUGAC
rnacentral:rRNA from 1 species